GAUGAACGCUGGCGGCGUGCCUAACACAUGCAAGUCGAACGGAGAUUACGGACGGAAGUUUUCGGAUGGAAGACUGUAAUUCUUAGUGGCGGGCGGGUGAGUAACGCGUGGGCAACCUGCCCUAUACAGGGGGAUAGCAGCUGGAAACGGCUGGUAAGACCGCAUAAGUCGGCGAGACCGCAUGGUUUUGCCGGGAAAUGAGCAAUCAGGUAUAGGAUGGGCCCGCGUCCGAUUAGCCAGUUGGCAGGGUAAAAGCCUACCAAAGCAACGAUCGGUAGCCGGACUGAGAGGUCGGACGGCCACAUUGGGACUGAGACACGGCCCAAACUCCUACGGGAGGCAGCAGUGGGGGAUAUUGCACAAUGGAGGAAACUCUGAUGCAGCGACGCCGCGUGAGUGAAGAAGUAUUUCGGUAUGUAAAGCUCUAUCAGCAGGGAAGAUGAUGACGGUACCUGACUAAGAAGCCCCGGCUAACUACGUG
rnacentral:rRNA from 1 species